GCCAGGCAGAGUGGUAUGCAGCUGUAAUCCCUGCCCCCGAAGAGGCUGAGGCUGGUGAAUCACUUGCUUAGGAAUUCUGAGCUACAACUGGGCUAAAGCCAAUUGGGUAUCCACCCUAGGUUUGGCACCAAUAUGGUGACCCACCGGGGAUGAGGGUGGGAGGGGAGGAAGGGGAAGCACCAGGUUGCCUAAGGAGGGGCAGACUGGCCCAGGUUGAAAAGCAGGUCAAAUACUCCUUGCCAAUCAGUAGUGGGAUUGAUCCUUUGAGUAGUCACUGCACUUCCAGUCCGGGCAAAAUGGAGAAACCCAGUGUCA
rnacentral:SRP_RNA from 1 species